rnacentral:lncRNA from 1 species
AGUCUUCUUUAUCGAAAAAAAUUAACCUUAUUAGAAUUUUUGUCUUUCCUUUAUAAAGAAAAUUUACACAUUCUUUCUCUUCCUCUCAAAUGGCUGCAACAAAAAUGUAAUGUUUCUCAUUCUAAAACUCUCAAACCUCUCUCUAAUCUCUUUGAACUUAAAAACACCAAACUUUAUAUCAAUUUAUAGUUAUUUGAUGUCCUCU